rnacentral:rRNA from 1 species
UACGUAGGGACCGAGCGUUGUCCGGAAUCAUUGGGCGUAAAGAGCGUGUAGGCGGCCUUUUAAGUCCUGCGUGAAAUCCUGCGGCUCAACCGCAGACGGUCGUGGGAAACUGGAAGGCUAGAGUGCGGGAGAGGAGAGUGGAAUUCCCGGUGUAGCGGUGAAAUGCGCAGAUAUCGGGAAGAACACCCGUGGCGAAGGCGGCUCUCUGGAACGCAACUGACGCUGAGACGGCGAAAGCGUGGGGAGCAAACAGGG